ensembl:lncRNA
ACAGCUUGGGCUGACGGCUUCUACUGCCCUACUCUUGAGCAGACCAUAUCAUGGGCUUUUGACUAGUUUGAUGCUAUUGGGUCAGGGACUUCUGUUUGGUCCCUUAAAGAGGGUGGGGCCACCUGAUUCAAAUCAUGGCUGCCUGGAAGGUGCUCGGGGCAAUGCAGAUUUGGAGUCUGGCAUGUGCAAUGCCAAGAAAGCAGCUGGCACAGUGCUGGGCCAAGUCAUCACUGUUGCCAUUCUAAUGGCUCUUUUAUACCAACUGAACAUGUCAAUGAAUAACCAAGUGAUGUUCUGCAUGGGGGAGAAGGUGAAAGUGGCUCAGCAGUGUCCAACUCUUUGGGAUCCCAUGGACUGCAGGCGGCCAGGCUCCUCUGUCCAUGGAAUUCUCCAGGCAAAAAUACUGGAGUGGGUAGCCAUUCCCUUCUCCAGAAAGAAGCAACAAGCGGAAGUCUCUGGCCGAGUGGGGAGCUGAAAUCUGAACCUGCUCGUGGGGUCUGUUAGAACAGAGUUCGCUGUGACAAAGCAUGCGUCCCGCAUGGCCCCAUCUCCCAGCACGUCCUCCUCUGCUUCCUAGCCAAGAGACGCAAGGAUCGCCCCGGGUGGACGGCCAGGUCUCAGGCCACCCAGGAAAUGGAAGCGAGCCUGUCUGCGUGAGGACCACAGCGCAUGCGCCCACGCACUUGUGAUGCCGCAGCUCUGCCGGGGUUGAUGUCUCGCUCGCUGACCCGGCCACCCUGGGGACAGCUGCUUUCCCCAGCCAGCCGUGAGCUCUGGCCCCGGUCACCCCUCCGGCGUUCUGACUCUCUCUGAAGAGGGUUUUUUCCAAACCCUGAAGUGCGGCAGUUUUAUGGGCCAGCUGCACUACGUUCCCCUUUCAGAGUCAACCAAGACUGUUAAAUCACAGGAAAAGGCCGUCCAAGUUGCUCUGCGAGGACUCAGUCCGGCAACCGGCUGCUUUCCUCACUCUCCUCCAGCGCCGGUUCUCAGAGGAGCCGUUAGAAACCCAGCAAAGGAGACCUAGGUCACCCCGGCUGCCUUCCAGGGCCUGAUACUCGCCUGCCUCUGAAGCCUUUGUUGAGCCCUGGUCAUUUCCCGUGGCCUCUGGGCCCCCCAGCACACAGGUUAACGUGCAGCCCCUGUCCUCCGUGCACCACUUGUUUUUCUGUUUCUGUUUGGUGAAUGGUCUCAGGGCUUCUCCCUUUCCUGCUCCACCCCAGCUGGAAGCCUCUUUAUUAGCAGUUUGUUUGCAAGCUCAUGGUGGUCUGUGAACUUGUCUGAAAUUUCCUGGAAGGGAAACAACUGCUGCAGCCAGAACGUGAGCCCCAGAGGAACAUCCUGGCAGUCUCUCUUCAGACAAUGCUCAUCCAUGCUCUCUGGCCAUCCGUCCUUCCUUCGCCCUACACGCCACACACCUUGAGAACAUUGCAGCCCUCCGUUAAAAGUCUUCCAGAGAUCCUGACAAGGGAGAGAAGAUUUCUUCCCCUAAAAAUGUGCAGCAUGUGAUGGUGCCUCUUACGUGAUGGGUGUUGCCUUCCAUGAGGUUCCUUAAGGAGAAAUUAAGGAAUAAUUCCAGGUCAGCCACUAAGAAGCUUUCUAAAACAAUUUUACUGAAGUAGAGUUGAUUUACAAUGUUGUGUUUAGUUUCUGCUGUCCAGCAAAAUGAUUCAGUUAUAUGGAUAUACAUUCUUUUUCAUAUUCUUCCCCAUUAUAAUGUAUCAUGAGUACAUCAUUUAUCCUGAGUACAUCAUGAGAAAUGCUGGGCUGGAUGAAACACAAGCUGGAAUCAAGAUUGCUGGGAGAAAUAUCAAUAAUCUCAGAUAUGCAGAUGACACCACCCUUAUGGCAGAAAGCAAAGAGGAGCUUGAUGAAGGUGAAAGAGGAAAGUGAAAAUACUGACUUAAAACUCAGUAUUCAAAAAACUAAGAUCAUGGCAUCCUGUCCCAUCACUUCAAGGCAAAGAUAGGGAAACAAUGGAAACAGUGACAGACUUUAUUUUCUUGGGCUCCAAAAUCACUGCAGAUGGUGACUGCAGCCAUGAAAUUAAAAGAUGCUUGCUCCUUGGAAGAAAAGCUAUGGCCAACCUAGACAGCAUAUUAAAAAGCUGAGACAUUACAUUGCCAACAAAUGUCUGUCUAGUAAAGCUAUGGUUUUUCCAGUGGUCAUGUAUGGGUGUGAGAGGUGGACCAUAAAGAAGGCUGAGCACCAAACAAUUGAUGCUUUUGAACUGUGAUUUGGAGAAGACUCUUGAGAGUCACUUGGACUGCAAGGAGAUCAAAGCAGUCAAUUCUAAAGGAAUUCAGCCCUGCCUGAAUUUUCAUUGGUGGGACUGAAGCUGAAGCUUCAAUUAUUUGGCCACCUGAUGCGAAGAGCCAAUUCAUUAGAAAAGACCCUGAUGCUGGGAAAGAUUGAAGGCAGGAGAAGAAGGGGCAACAGAAGACAAGAUGAUUGGAUGGCAUCACUGACUCAGUGGACACGAGUUUGAGCAAGCUCUGGGAGAUGGUGAAAGACAGGGAAUCCUGGUGUGCUGCCAUCCAUGGGGUUGCAAAGAGUCGUACACGACUGAGCAACUGAACACAGCAAAGUGACUCAGUUAUAGAGAUAUACAUUCUUUUUCAUAUUCUUUCCCAUUAUGAUUUAUCACAGGUUACUGAAUAUAUAGCUCCCUGUGCUAUAC